rnacentral:rRNA from 1 species
CACGUAGGGGGCGAGCGUUGUCCGGAUUUAUUGGGCGUAAAGAGCUCGUAGGCGGCUCGGUAAGUCAGGUGUGAAAACUCUAGGCUCAACCUAGAGACGCCACCUGAUACUGCUGUGGCUAGAGUCCGGUAGGGGAGCAUGGAAUUCCUGGUGUAGCGGUGAAAUGCGCAGAUAUCAGGAGGAACACCGUGGCGGAAGGCGGUGCUCUGG